rnacentral:rRNA from 1 species
CCUACGGGAGGCAGCAGUGGGGGAUAUUGCACAAUGGGGGAAACCCUGAUGCAGCGACGCCGCGUGGGCGAAGAAGUAUUUCGGUAUGUAAAGCCCUAUCAGCAGGGAAGAAGAAAUGACGGUACCUGAGUAAGAAGCACCGGCUAAAUACGUGCCAGCAGCCGCGGUAAUACGUAUGGUGCCAGCGUUAUCCGGAUUUACUGGGUGUAAAGGGAGCGCAGGGGGCACGGCAAGCCUGAUGGGAAAGCCCGCGGCCCAACCGCGGGACUGCUUUGGGAACUACCGGGCUGGAGUGCCGGAGAGGUAGGCGGAAUUCCUAGUGUAGCGGUGAAAUGCGUAGAUAUUAGGAGGAACACCAGUGGCGAAGGCAGCCUACUGGACGGUGACUGACGCUGAGGCUCGAAGGCGUGGGGAGCAAACAGGAUUAGAUACCCCAGUAGUC